AUUGACUAAGGUUUCCAGAGGAAGGCUCGUCCGCUCUGGGUUAGUCGGGUCCUAAGCUGAGGCCGACAGGCGUAGGCGAUGGAUAACAGGUUGAUAUUCCUGUACCACCUAUAAUCGUUUUAAUCGAUGGGGGGACGCAGUAGGAUAGGCGAAGCGUGCGAUUGGAUUGCACGUCUAAGCAGUAAGGCUGAGUAUUAGGCAAAUCCGGUACUCGUUAAGGCUGAGCUGUGAUGGGGAGAAGACAUUGUGUCUUCGAGUCGUUGAUUUCACACUGCCGAGAAAAGCCUCUAGAUAGAAAAUAGGUGCCCGUACCGCAAACCGACACAGGUAGUCAAGAUGAGAAUUCUAAGGUGAGCGAGCGAACUCUCGUUAAGGAACUCGGCAAAAUGACCCCGUAACUUCGGGAGAAGGGGUGCUCUUUAGGGUUAACGCCCAGAAGA
rnacentral:rRNA from 1 species